AUUGAACGCUGGCGGCAGGCCUAACACAUGCAAGUCGAGCGAGUGGCGGACGUGUGAGUAAUGUCUGGGAAUCUGCCUGAUGGAGGGGGAUAACUACUGGAAACGGUAGCUAAUACCGCAUACUAUCGGAUGUACCCAUAUGGGAUUAGCUAGUUGGUGGGGUAAAGGCUCACCUCGGCGACGAUCCCUAGCUGGUCUUAGAGGAUGACCAGCCAAACUGGAACGGAGACACGGUCCAGACUCCGACGGGAGGCAGCAGUGGGGAAGAUUGAACAAGGGGCGCAAGCCUGAUGCAGCCAUGCCGCGUGUAUGAAGAAGGCCUUCGGGUUGUAAAGUACUUUCAGCGGGGAGGCGUUACCCGCAGAAGAAGCACCGGCUAACUCCGUGCCAGCAGCCGCGGUAAUUC
rnacentral:rRNA from 1 species